GAUGAACGCUGGCGGCAGGCUUAACACAUGCAAGUCGAGCGCCCCGCAAGGGGAGCGGCAGACGGGUGAGUAACGCGUGGGAACGUACCCUUAUCUUCGGAAUAGCUCCGGGAAACUGGAAUUAAUACCGAAUGUGCCCCUAGGGGGAAAGAUUUAUCGGAUAAGGAUCGGCCCGCGUUGGAUUAGCUAGUUGGUGGGGUAAAGGCCUACCAAGGGGACGAUCCAUAGCUGGUCUGAGAGGAUGAUCAGCCACAUUGGGACUGAGACACGGCCCAAACUCCUACGGGAGGCAGCAGUGGGGAAUAUUGGACAAUGGGCGCAAGCCUGAUCCAGCCAUGCCGCGUGAGUGAUGAAGGCCUUCGGGUUGUAAAGCUCUGUCUUUUGGGACGAUAAUGACGGUACCAAAGGAGGAAGCCACGGCUAACUACGUGCCAGCAGCCGCAGUAAGAC
rnacentral:rRNA from 1 species